UAGAUUAGAUUUAUUAGUGUGUGAGAGAGUUUCUAUGUAGAAGUUUUCUUUCUUUUUCAAUUUUCUAACCAUUUUUUCCCCAUAUUCACACACUAAUUAUCUAGUUAUUAUUUUAAUCAAUGAAUUCAUGAAAAUUGUUUUAUUUUAUUUAUUCCAAAUCAUUUCUAAGCUCUUCAAAGUGCUAAAAGAGUCUUAUAAUUCCAUUGAAAUCGUCCUAAGAAAGACUGAAACAUGUCAUUUAAGGCGUCAAUUGAUAUUAAAUGUUGACUAUUUCCUUCAAGAAGUAGGAGGACUCAUGGAUCGAAUCAGAAAGCUAGGAGACAAGAUAAAUGAGAUUAAGGUGAACAUUGAUGAAAUUGAAAAGGAAAGGAUCCAAACUCCUAUGAGGGAGGAAUAAGACAUCUAUCUUGACAUGGAGGACAAAUGUGUAGAAUUUGAAAGAUUUAAAAUGAUAGGCCUAAUUCAAUCCCAUUCUCAACUUGCUAAAAUCAUGGACUUGGAAGCUUACAAGGAAAAUUUCAAAGGAGAAUAAGUAAAAGAUCUACGAGAAGAACCGGCUGAGAAAUAUGAUUAUAAAGUCUCCUUAUGUUGAUACUCCACUUAAGAGCAUUUAGCCCAUUGGAUGGGAGCUUUAGAAUUACGAAUUUUAAAAUUAUUUAGGACUAUUUAUUUUGUUUAAAACUAUUUUUCAGUAGGAUUUCUUAUCAAAAUAUGUAUUUAAUAGAAUUUCUUCGUAGGACUACUUUGUAAUAAGGCCCAUUAGGCCUAUUUUUAUCAAUAAAAUUAUUCAGUCUUAUUUAA